AGCCAAGGCGAAGAAGGACAAAAGAGACGAGGACGAGCAGGACAACCCGACAGAUCAGAUGGUCAAGAACGAAUGCUGGCUGAUGCCAAACCCCCGUCGUUGCAAGGAUUAUGUGCCACGCUGGUUUUACGACACAACGUACUUGCUUUGCAAGCCCUAUCUCUACGGCGGCUGCGGGGGAAGGAAAGUUAACGCGUUUAGGACCUACGACGAGUGUAUGAAGCGCUGCACGUUCGAGGUUCCUGAAGUAGGAGGAAGGUCCGGAGGCCAGGCUGGUCCACAGGCCAGAUUCAAGCGAGAUAGGGCACGGAGAAUGACAUCCAGCUUGAACAUGCUUUUGACUUGUUGUUUUAAAGUCAGGUGUUUGUGUUGCAGGAGGUAUUAGGUUUUAAAUAAAGGGUGAGCGUUGGCCCUA